CGGGCAUGGUGGUGCGCGCCUGUAAUCCAGCUACUGAGGGGGCUGAGGCAUGAGAAUCGCUUGAACCUGGGAGGUGGAGUUUGCAGUGACCGGAGAUCAUGCCACUGCACUCCAGCCUGGAUGACAGAGCAAGACUCCGUCUCAAAAACAACAAAAACAACAACCACAGCAACAACCACAGUUCUUAGAAAAGCAUUUUAAGGUAAAGGUAACCUUCUGAUUUCAAUUGCCCGUUUGGAUCAACCAUCAGACCCAGUCAUGGAGAGGACGCAGAAAAUGGAAUCUAGGAAAGAAUGAGCCAGGAUCUUGUGGACCGAGCUGAAGCGUGAAUCUUCCUCGCCAGAAACACCCCAGCAACCAAUUACCCUGGACGUGACGCCGAGGCCCACCUAGUGGUCAGCCAUCUGCCUAGGCAGACAAUAAAGC
rnacentral:lncRNA from 1 species